rnacentral:rRNA from 1 species
GUUAGGAAUAUUGGACAAUGGGCGAAAGCCUGAUCCAGCCAUGCCGCGUGAACGAUGAAGGCCUUCGGGUUGUAAAGUUCUUUAGCCGAUGAUUAUAAUGACUGUAGUCGGAAAAUAAGCCCCGGCUAACUUCGUGCCAGCAGCCGCGGUAAUACGAAGGGGGCGAGCGUUAUUCGGAAUCACUGGGCGUAAAGCGUGCGUAGGCGGCUUUGCAAGUUGGGAGUGAAAGCCCAGGGCUCAACCCAGGAAUUGCUCUCAAAACUGCAAGGCUCGAAUUCGGGAGAGGAUAGCGGAAUUGUCAGUGUAGCAGUGAAAUGCGUAGAUAUUGACAGGAACACCAGUGGCGUAAGCGGCUAUCUGGACCGAUAUUGACGCUGAGGCACGAUAGCGUGGGGAUCAAACAGGAUUAGAUACCCUAGUAGUCC